GUCUGUGUGUAGGCUCUUGAUGCUCUGACACCAGUCUCAGUCCAGUUCUUGUGAAGACUCCCUAAGUUCUUGAAUCUACUGAGUCCUCUGAAGGCUGCUCUUAUCUGUUCCUUUGUCUCCUUUUCCUUCCUCACUUUUUACUUCAGUCAACUUUCCAUGAAUCUGCUUCAUACAGACUGUGGACAGCCAGACUUUUCAGCAGGGACCUUCUGGGGUCGGCUGACCCACCUUGUUUAGGGGGUCGAUGGUUGUUUUUUGGACAACUGCAGGUCAGCAGUCUGCCCUGUGAUAUUGGUUGUGAAGGUUAAACUACAGAGACAUGUUAUCUUUUACCAAUAUUUAGAUUAUAACAAACUCAAACUCUCAAGAGUGUCAGACUGGGCUCAGACACUUUAUUUAAGGGUCUGAGUUUAGACAGCUGGAGAGAAAAUAUUAGUCAGAUUCAGAUGAACACUUCUUUUAUAUUUUUGUUUCACUGGGCAUAUAAAAGAUGAGCUUUAUUUUCCUGUGAGGGGAUUCCUUUUUUAUGAGUCCUAAUCCUCCUUUAAUUCCAGUUUUUAUUCACUUCAUAUUGUUUGAUCCAGCCGGAUUAUUGAGGAUUACAUCUUCUCUUAGAUGUUACAUAACAAACCUCUGAACUGCUUCCUUUCAACAACAGUCUAUUUCUUACCAACAUGUAAUUACAUUUAUGUGAAUGUCUGAAUGAAACAGGGAGGUGAAGGUCUUCCUGCUGCAGUCAGUCUAUAGACUCUGAGUCAGAUCUUAUGUCACUGUAAACACAGAGGCGUUGACUCUCAGAUCUACAGUUUCAUCUUUUUAGGCUGCAGGCUACGAGUGUGCAGUUAAAUCAUUUAAUGCAGUGAGACAGAGCGCUCUGAAAUGUUACCAUACCUGAACUUACCUGUCGGAACAUGUGGGGAGUCAGUCUGCAGCAGCAGAUGUACUGAGCAGCACUGAGCAGUGCCAUCUUGUGAUCAUUUAUUGUUACUGUCAGUCCCUUUUUUAUUGAAGCUCGGUUAUGUAGGUCACAAAGAUUUAGCUCACAUCUAAUUACACACCUGUUUGUCUUAAUGUGUGUGGGGGGAUCUAAACUUUUACCUGAAUACAGCCUGGGCACUUCAAAACGGUCCAAAGGAGCUGAGGUGUGCAACUGGAACCAGCUCUCAAGAAGACAGCCAUAAAGAGCCCCCACAACACACACAUAAACACACAUAAACACACAGACUCCCAGACGAAAAUGAUCCAAAUAUUGUGUAAUGUGUCAUAUCACUAGCCCUGUUGCUAUGGAGACAGUGACAGGAUGCUGGAGGUGAGGCGUCACGGUAACAGAUCUCACACACACAGACACACAUUAAACAUUACCAGCAGAGAAGCUAGUGAGCCACAAAAAAAAGAUGUCCUCACAGGAUUUUAGUGAUCACCAUAACAUUACCUUGGAGACCGAAGAGGUCCACUGACAGUCCUCUGUCAUCGCCAGCAAUUUGGAGAUAUUUUAAAGGUCAAAGGUCAAUCAGAUGAAAUGCCUGUUUGGGGCAAACCAGAGGGACUGAGUUAGGCGUUUGGGGCUUACCGAAACUUUACCUUCAGAUUGUCCCAGGUUUACAGUGUCUGUUAAAACCCCACAGCAUGCAUUUAAAUAUGUGUAUUGCUAAAAAUCAGUCUGACCCAGAAUUCUGUCUGUUCCGUCACCAUGGUGACAGUGAACAUAGGGUCACUGUCUCCAUGGUUACAGCAGCACAAGGUUGCAGAAACAUAAUAGGACUCUGAAUGGGAUGGCUGAGGCUCAGGAGGUAGGCUGGGUGUCCACUCAUGAUCAGAAGGUGCAGUUCAAUCGCUGGCCUCUAGAGUCCGCAUGUCAGAGUCCUUGAGUGAGAAACCCAAUCCCAGACUGCUUGUGAAAGUUGAGCCAUUGAUGUGUGAGUGUGUGUGACAGAGAGUGAAUGUGCCAUGUUGUGUAAACUCAGUGAGUUGUCAGAAGUCUCACCAUCCAGUUUCUCAUGGUUUGAUGUGGAAGAAAUUAGCUCCCAGUCUCAAGACUGCAUCAUGAAGUACCUUGUAUCUGUUUACUUUCUACCACGUGAUGUGAAAAGCUCUGUGCCCGCUGAUGGUCUUUAAAAGUUUCUCUGGAGUUUGUAGGGCCUGUAAAGCCUAAUUCUACCAGAACAGAGAUCUGGGAUGAACUCAUUUUCUAACAAUUCACUUUUGAUAUUGAGUUUAUAACUCUGGAUUUUCCAGAUCACUUCAAGACAGUCAGGCCCAGAUAUUUUAAGGAACUUGCCUUUCACACAUGCACCUCAACUCAGUCGCUCUCACAACUUGAUAUAGUUAGCUUGUUGAAAGUGGGUGUUGCAGGUGGGAUGGAAGAUAGGAUAGAAAUUUUACUGUCAUGAUAUAAAGACAGAAAACAAAACUUCACUUGGUAGCAUUCCUACACAGCAGCAUCACAAAAUCUGGUGAACAAUUAUUGAAGUAUAAAUACAUGUAAAGUAUGUUCAUCUGUCUCUGGUUCCUGAGAAUUCCUGUAUCAGUGCAUCGUGUCAUGGAAAUGAUCAGUCUGUGUCUCUGCUGGGGUCUUACUGGAGUCCAGGUCUCUCUGAUAGCUCUUUCAGCUGGUCUGUAUUGUUGCUCUGGUGUCUCUCCUGAUGAUCCUCCAGAGAUCCUCUAUGGGGUUUAGAUCAGACCAGUUGGCUGAACAAUCAAGCACAGUAAUAUCAUGAUCAGCAGAACAGUUUCUGGUAGUUUUGGCGCUGUGGGCAGGGUCCAGGUCCUGCUGGAAAAGUAAAUGGAUCUCCAUAAAGCUUCUCAGCAGAUGAAGCAUGAAGGUCUCUAAAACCUCCUGGUGGACUUAAGGCUGCGUUGACUCUGGACUUGAUAAAACACAGCAGACCAACAGCAGUAGAUGACAUAGUCCCCCAAACCAUCACAGACUGUGGAAACUUCACCCUGGAACUCAAUGAUGUGGGAUUAUGGGCCUCCUUGAUCUUCCUCCAGACUCUGGGACCUUGAUUUCCAAAUAAGACUUGGGACUUUGGACCACAGAGUAAUAGUUCAGUUCUUUGUCUUCUUAGUCCAGGUGAGACUCUUACAACGUUUCUCAGGUUCAGGAGUGUCUUGACAAUAGGACUAUGACGCUUGUAGUCAAUUUCCUUGGCCGGUCUUUGUGUAGAGGCUCUUGAUGCUCUGACACCAGUCUCAGUCCAGUUCUUGUGAAGACCCCCUAAGUUCUUAUAUCUACUUUGUCAGUCCUCUGAAGGUUUCUUUCAUCCCUGUUUCCUGGUCUCCUUCUCUUCCCUCACUUUUCCCCUUCAGUCAACUUUCCAUGAAUCUGCUGCAGACUCUGUGGACAGCCAGACUCUUUAGCAGGGACCUUCUGGGGUCGGCUGACCCUCCUUGUUUAGGGGGUCGAUGGUGGUCUUCUUAACAACUGUCAGGUCAGCAGUCUGAACUAUGAAUGUGGUUAUUUACUGACCCAGAGUAAGAGAAUAAAGACUCAAUUUACCCUUACAGAGUUGUUCAGAGUUCAUCAGCUGAUUAGAGACUUUUUCAGGACUGAAGUAACUGACAAAAAACUUUUACACAGUAUUCUGAUGAUUGGAGAGGGUGGGUUUUUGAGUUAUGCAGUCUGAGCAGAAGGAGGACUCUUUGAUAAUGUGGACUGUUCGUGCGUUAUCACUAGUACAGCGAGCAUAAGGGAUUCUCCACAGCACAAACAAAACUGUGUGAAACAUGCAAGCAGUGCAGUUCAGGAAGAGCAGUUCCACAUGUGUUUCUGUUAAAGGGGGCUUCCUCGCUGGUUACCAAGACAACACUUAGACACCAUAAGACCCCAUGACCUUAGCAGUCUCACAGGAAGUGAUUUAGGACAGAGUGUCCCUGUUAAGUGCAACUUCAAACACUCUUCACAUCACUGACAGCUGAGUCAUUAACAUGCAGGCAGGCAGGCGGGUGUCACAGAGUGAUCAGAUAAUCUAAGAAAACACACACACACACACACACACACACACACACACACACACACACACACACACACACACACACACACACACACACACACACACACACACACACACACAGAAUGAAUUCAUCUGUUCAUCCAGCCAUCCAUUCAUUAACACACCAUAUGACCUGAAAGCAAAACAUUAUGUAAACAUCCUUUCAUUCACCCUAAUUCAUUCUUUUUUUUUAUUCAUUCAUUCAAUCAUCUUUAUAUCAUUCACUCAUACUUACUUCUUCAUGGUAACAGGAGGUAAGAGUUAUGUCGGUUCACUGACUCAUGCAUUUACAGUUCCAACCAUUCAUUUAUCGCUGCACAGUUAUUUAUAUAAUCAUGAUCUGUUUAAAAAUUCAACCAUUUAUUUACCAAUUACAAACAUUUAUUCAUCUUUUCAUUCACUCAUGUUUCCAUUCAUUUAUCUCAUUCCAAUCCAGCUCUUAACUGUCUGAAUUAUUUUAUCUGCUUAAUUUUAUGGCUUUUCAUCCAUUCAUUUAGUUUGAGGAAUUAGACCUUCAUCUUUCUUCAGCAACUCAGCCAUCCAUCCAUCCAACAUGCUCCAGGCUCUCUUCAGCCGGCCUUUCAGGCAUCAGCUACGCUCAAGUUUCUGGCACACAUUUAGGUGUCUGCUAGUUUAUGGGCUCAGGAUCAGAAUCCACAUUCUCUUCAACUUCUUUAUUAUAAAUAUUUUUUGAUUUUUACCUUAUAUGAUGUAUGGAAAAAAGAAGCAUUGUUAGUUUUAUGCUGCUGAAUAAGUCUCACAAAGUCGAGAGAUGAUUAUAGUUUACUUUUAUAUUCAAUGUGAGUGACGUUUGCGCUACAUUCAACAAUGAAGAGGGGAAAUGUUGAAAGUACGGCACACAUGCAGAACUACAUGACGACACUUUAUCGUCUGAUUAUAUUGUAGAAAAGAAUAUUAAUUAGCUCCCACAUAAAAUACUUAAAAUCUUGCUUGAUUAUUAUUUAAGCAAGUUUAAACUAACAAACUAAAAGAUACGUGAUUUUUCUAUAUAGUCUUCUAUUAAGCAAACUUGUUUAAAUGAUUAAACUUGCUAAAAUUAUUAUUUUUAUCGAAUUUCCCUUCAGGGAUCAAUAAACACUCUUCUUCUCCUUAUAAAUGUUUUUUCCCUGUUUUACUCUCAGCCUGUUGUAUAGUUGUGUUCUUACUUAAGAUGGCUGAGUUAAUUCAAAUGAAUUUGAUAACUUUGUUGUUUAUGUGUUUUACUCUACAUCUAUUGUCACCCUUGAGAGGGUCUAAAGCUACAGCCCCCUAAAGGAUUUCUGCAUUAUUUCAACGAUACGGCCGGCACCUUAAUAUGACAUAAGGCCUGGUGUAACCCAUACACGGAGUAACAUUUGCAACUCACAGAAUACUGCUUAUCACGGUUCAUGGACUGUAAUGUCUACACAACGUGUAGGCUACUUAAGUUACUAAUCACAGCACAUAGACUCCCCUCAGUAAGUUAGACACAACAACACGAGCCACACUCCUUGUAACUCACUGCUCAUUCCGCUAACGUUACACAAUGUGGCGAACACCAGGCUGCUAACAGUACUUUACAUUCAUAGCACCAUUUCCAAGAACAUAAUAAAGUACUCGGUCCAGUACAUGUAACAGCAACACAUCCUGCUCGUACUGAACAGAGUCACUUACUUAUCCAGUAGUAUCAAGGCAACAUCGGUGUCGGACCUCAGUACAAUCUCCCCCUUCAGGGCUCUCCAUCGAGGAAAAGCGACGCUGAUGUAAAUCCGCAUUCGUCUUCUCCGUUUAUCACUCUCUUUCUUCGCCAACAGAUCUUCUCCUGAACAGGAAGACUUUUUCUUUUUAGCAGAAUCCACUUGUGAACCUCUUGGUCACUUCUUCAGGUUCUCCGCCAUGUUUUUUCAAGCAGCACUCUCCUCCCCCCUCCCUUCUCGUUGUCAGGUAAAACCGAGUAGAGCAUGUCAUUUCCUGAGUGCCAGUGUGGGAAUGUUAACCCGCAACACCAAACACAAAAAGAACAAAUAUUGAAAAAUACCACGAGGUGUUAGAGGAGCCGGAAGGCUUAAUCAGCGUUGUGUCAUCUCCUUUUAUAGUGGCUUGGGUGAAACAGAUAUUUACAGACACGUACAAGUCACUCACUAUGGCUUUAAGCUUGUAACGAAACCAAUUAAAAUGCCAUGAAAUUAACAUAUUUCAGUAUUUUAUAUGCAGCAGAAUUUCAAAAGCAGGAGUUAAAUUGUGUUUUUGUUCUGCUCGUCUUCUUUUUUUUUUUUUUUUUUAACUAGUUUUACUUACAGUGAGUAGAAAUAGGAAUAUUUAGACAGAGCCUGUGGUUAGAUUUUGGAUUCAGAUACUGCCUUGCUCACACCUCCUUUUGGUGAAUCUUCACAUAAGAAACCCCUGUGGUGCAUGAUAAAUGUGAACCUCUAUUUGCCAAGUUCUUGAAAAACAUCAAAAUUAUCUACCAAGAAAAAUUCUUUACAACAGCAACCAACAUCCUUUUUUCUCCUUCUUAUUCUAACCCAUGCAAUAUGUGCAGCAACACAAA